GACGAACGCUGGCGGCGUGCUUAACACAUGCAAGUCGAACGGAAAGGCCUGCUUUCCCUUGUGGAUUGCGGGUACUCGAGUGGCGAACGGGUGAGUAACACGUGAGUGAUCUGCCCCCAACUUGGGUAUAAGCCUGGGAAACUGGGUCUAAUUCCCGAUAGGACUGCAGGGUGGUGCCUGUGGUGGAAAACGAUUUUCUAGUGGUUGGGGAUGAGCUCGCGGCCUAUCAGCUUGUUGGUGGGGUAAUGGCCUACCAAGGCGGCGACGGGUAGCCGGCCUGGGAGGGUGGACGGCCACAUUGGGACUGAGAUACGGCCCAGACUCCUACGGGAGGCAGCAGUGGGGAAUAUUGCACAAUGGGCGGAAGCCUGAUGCAGCGACGCCGCGUGGGGGAUGACGGCCUUCGGGUUGUAAACUCCUUUCGACCGCGAGGAAGCCACCUGGUUGGAAGGGUGGUGACGGUAGUGGUAGAAGAAGCACCGGCUAACUACGG
rnacentral:rRNA from 1 species